rnacentral:lncRNA from 1 species
GCCAGACAGCACUGGCCAGUUUGGAGUCUGUCCAUCCUGCAGGCCACAAGCUCUGGAUGAGGAACUUGAGGCAAGUCACCAGCCCCUGAUCAUUUCGCCUAAAAGAGCAAGGACUAGAGUUCCUGACCUCCAGGCCAGUCCCUGAUCCCUGACCUAAUGUUAUCGCGGAAUGAUGGAGGCUGGGGUACGCUGGAGAAGGAAUGGGCUUCCUAACCUUGAGCCCUCUUCCCUGAAGAUAUAUGUAUCUACGGGGGCCUGGGGCUGGGCGGGCUCCUGCUUCUGGCAGUGGUCCUUCUGUCCGCCUGCCUGUGUUGGCUGCAUCGAAGAGUAAAGAGGCUGGAGAGGAGCUGGAGGCUGCCAGUGCCCAGCAGUGAGGGACCUGACCUCAGGGGCAGAGACAAGAGAGGCACCAAGGAGGAUCCAAGAGCUGACUAUGCCUGCAUUGCUGAGAACAAACCCACCUGAGCACCCCAGACACCUUCCUCAACCCAGGCGGGUGGACAGGGUCCCCCUGUGGUCCAGCCAGUAAAAACCAUGGUCCCCCCACUUCUGUGUCUCAGUCCUCUCAGUCCAUCUCGAGCCUCCGUUCAAAUUGAUCAUCAUCAAAACUUAUGUGGCUUUUUGACCUUUGAAUAGGGAAUUUUUUAAAUUUUUUAAAAAUUAAAAUAAAAAAAACACAUGGCUCACCCUUCCACCC